AUUGAACGCUGGCGGCAGGCCUAACACAUGCAAGUCGAACGGUAACAGGAAGAAGCUUGCUUCUUUGCUGACGCGUGGCGGACGGGUGAGUCAUGUCUGUGAAACUGCCUGAUGGAGGGGGAUAACUACUGGAAACGGUAGCUAAUACCGCAUAACGUCGCAAGACCAAAAAGGGGGACCUUCGGGCCUCUUGCCAUCGGAUGUGACCAGAUGGAAUUAGCUAGUAGGUGGGGUAACGGCUCACCUAGGCGACGAUCCCUAGCUGGUCUGAGAGGAUGACCAGCCACACUGGAACUGAGACACGGUCCAGACUCCUACGGGAGGCAGCAGUGGGGAAUAUUGCACAAUGGGCGCAAGCCUGAUGCAGCCAUGCCGCGUGUAUGAAGAAGGCCUUCGGGUUGUAAAGUACUUUCAGCGGGGAGGAAGGGAGGAAAGUUAAUACCUGUGCUCAUUGACGUUACCCACAGAAGAAGCACCGGCUAACUCCGUG
rnacentral:rRNA from 1 species